rnacentral:rRNA from 1 species
CCUACGGGAGGCUGCAGUCGAGAAUCAUUCACAAUGGGGGAAACCCUGAUGUUGCGACGCCGCGUGGGGGAAUGAAGGUCUUCGGAUUGUAAACCCCUGUCAUGUGGGAGCAAAUUAAAAAGCUUGUACCACAAGAGGAAGAGACGGCUAACUCUGUGCCAGCAGCCGCGGUAAUACAGAGGUCUCAAACGUUGUUCGGAACCACUGGGCGUAAAGCGUGCGUAGGCUGUUUCGUAAGUCGUGUGUGAAAGGCGCGGGCUCAACCCGCGGACGGCACAUGAUACUGCGAGACUAGAGUAAGGGAGGGGGAAGCGGAAUUCUCGGUGUAGCAGUGAAAUGCGUAGAUAUCGAGAGGAACACUCGUGGCGAAGGCGGGUUCCUGGACAUUAACUGACGCUGAGGCACGAAGGCCAGGGGAGCGAAAGGGAUUAGAUACCCUAGUAGUC